rnacentral:rRNA from 1 species
AUUGAACGCUGGCGGCAGGCCUAACACAUGCAAGUCGAGCGGCAGCGGAAAGUAGCUUGCUACUUUGCCGGCGAGCGGCGGACGGGUGAGUAAUGUCUGGGAAACUGCCUGAUGGAGGGGGAUAACUACUGGAAACGGUAGCUAAUACCGCAUAACGUCGCAAGACCAAAGAGGGGGACCUUCGGGCUUCUUGCCAUCAGAUGUGCCCGGAUGGGAUUAGCUAGUAGGUGGGGUAAUGGCUCACCUAGGCGACGAUCCCUAGCUGGUCUGAGAGGAUGACCAGCCACACUGGAACUGAGACACGGUCCAGACUCCUACGGGAGGCAGCAGUGGGGAAUAUUGCACAAUGGGCGCAAGCCUGAUGCAGCCAUGCCGCGUGUAUAAAGAAGGCCUCCGGGUUGUAAAGUACUUUCAGCGGGGAGGAAGGUGUUGAGGUUAAUAACCUCAGCAAUUGACGUUACCCGCAGAAGAAGCACCGGCUAACUCCGUGCCAGCCGCCGCAGUAA